rnacentral:rRNA from 1 species
UAAUACGGAGGGUGCGAGCGUUGUUCGGAAUCAUUGGGCGUAAAGGGCGCGCAGGCGGCUGUUUAAGUCUGAUGUGAAAGCCCCGGGCUCAACCCGGGAAGUGCAUCGGAAACUGGGCAGCUUGAGUACGGGAGAGGGAAGUGGAAUUCCGCAUGUAGGGGUGAAAUCCGUAGAUAUGCGGAGGAACACCGGUGGCGAAGGCGGCUUCCUGGACCGAUACUGACGCUGAGGCGCGAAAGCGUGGGGAGCAAACAGGAUUAGAUACCCUGGUAGUCCACGCCGUAAACGAUGGACACUAGGCGUUGCAGGUACCCAUUCCAGCAGUGCCGCAGCUAACGCGAUAAGUGUCCCGCCUGGGGAGUACGGCCGCAAGGCUA